UUAUUGGAGAGUUUGAUCCUGGCUCAGGACGAACGCUGGCGGCGUGCCUAAUACAUGCAAGUCGAGCGAACCAAUGGGAGCUUGCUCCCUGAGGUUAGCGGCGGACGGGUGAGUAACACGUGGGUAACCUGCCUGUAAGAUUGGGAUAACUCCGGGAAACCGGAGCUAAUACCGGAUAACAUUUUGAACCGCAUGGUUCAAAAUUGAAAGACGGCUUCGGCUGUCACUUACAGAUGGACCCGCGGCGCAUUAGCUAGUUGGUGAGGUAAUGGCUCACCAAGGCGACGAUGCGUAGCCGACCUGAGAGGGUGAUCGGCCACACUGGGACUG
rnacentral:rRNA from 1 species